UUCUUUCAUAUGCCUUAUUGCUACAAUACUCUUUAGGGGAAUAUUUUUGUUAAAGACUUUCUUGUUGGACAUCGAAAUAAACUAUUGAAAUUGGAGCUUCAUCCAAAACUAGAAAAUCCUCAUAUUGCAUUCUUGUUCUUUUCUCACAUUUAUUUUUUACCCCAAACUCUUCUAUUCUUAAUUCAGUUUUUUCAAUAGAUGUUGUGCAUUCUUCUUCUUUUUUUCUUUUUCAAAUCCUCCUUCAUCGACUACUUCCCAUUCAUGUUCU
rnacentral:lncRNA from 1 species